rnacentral:tRNA from 1 species
ACAGUCAUGGCCUAGUGGUUAAGGCUUUGGCCUUGUAAGUUAGAGGUUUAAGGUUCCAUUCCCAUUGGUUGCA